rnacentral:rRNA from 1 species
AAGUCCUACGGGAGGCAGCAGUGGGGAAUAUUGGGCAAUGGGCGCAAGCCUGACCCAGCAACGCCGCGUGAAGGAAGAAGGCUUUCGGGUUGUAAACUUCUUUUAUCAGGGACGAAGCAAGUGGGGGGACCUGAUGAAUAAGCCACGGCUAACUACGUGCCAGCAGCCGCGGUAAUACGUAGGUGGCAAGCGUUAUCCGGAUUUACUGGGUGUAAAGGGCGGGUAGGGGGGAGGGCAAGUCAGAUGUGAAAACUAUGGGCGCA